AUAGUUUAGUCCAGUUCAGAACCUGAUACUUUUCGCCGGAGCCCGUCUGAAUAUCUGUUUGCGCUCAAAUUUGACAGUCAGGCUUAAUUAAAAUAAAUUAGAAAAACAUGAUCUUAAUUUUUCAGCUUUGAAUCAUUUUUUAUUACCGAAAGUUUUACCGACUAAAGUCUCUAACAGAUUGCUGUUAAAUUUCGUUUUCACUUUUCGAGUGUCGGAAUGACAUGAAACUUUAAAUCUAGCCUCAAAAAAAUAAUUCCAACAUAUUCUCAAAUUUUCAUAAUUUUCUAACAUUGUGAAUUUUCUGCUAAAUAAUAAUUCUCGUUUUUUACAGAAAAUUCUAAAUCUCCUAUUUAGAAUUUUCGAGUUCAGCACAAGUCAUUUUCAACUUAUAUUUUACUUCUUUAAGUUCAAUAAAAAUGGUAUCUCACACUUUUUAUUUUCACUUACUUUUAUAUUAAAAAUCCGGUACACUAUAAUUA
rnacentral:lncRNA from 1 species